rnacentral:rRNA from 1 species
UACAUGGGGUGCAAACGUUGCUCGGAAUUAUUGGGCGUAAAGCGCACGUAGGCGGUUCGUUAAGUCGGAUGUGAAAGCCCUCGGCUCAACUGAGGAAGUGCACCCGAAACUGGCGAGCUUGAGUACGAAAGAGGAUCGCGGAAUUCCCGGUGUAGAGGUGAAAUUCGUAGAUAUCGUAAGGAAGACCAGUGGCGAAGGCGGGUCUCUGGACAGUUCCUGACGCUGAGGCACGAAGGCCAGGGGAGCAAACGGG